GCAUAUCAAUAAGCGGAGGAAAAGAAACCAACAGGGGAUUGCCCUUAGUAACGGCGAAGUGAAGCGGCAACAGCUCAAAUUUGAAAUCUGGCUUCGGCCCGAGUUUGUAAUUUGUAGAGGAAGCUUUAGGCGCGGCACCUUCUGAGUCCCCUGGAACGGGGCGCCAUAGAGGGUGAGAGCCCCGUGUAGUUGGAUGCCUAGCCUGUGUAAAGCUCCUUCGACGAGUCGAGUAGUUUGGGAAUGCUGCUCAAAAUGGGAGGUAAAUUUCUUCUAAAGCUAAAUACCGGCCAGAGACCGAUAGCGCACAAGUAGAGUGAUCGAAAGAUGAAAAGCACUUUGAAAAGAGGGUUAAAUAGCACGUGAAAUUGUUGAAAGGGAAGCGCUUGUGACCAGACUUGCGCCGGGCUGAUCAUCCGGUGUUCUCACCGGUGCACUCUGCCCGGCUCAGGCCAGCAUCGGUUCUCGCGGGGGGAUAAAGGCCCGGGGAAUGUAGCUCCUCCGGGAGUGUUAUAGCCCCGGGCGUAAUACCCUCGCGGGGACCGAGGUUCGCGCGUCUGCAAGGAUGCUGGCGUAAUGGUCAUCAGCGACCCGUCUUGAAACACGGACCAAGGAGUCAAGGUUUUGCGCGAGUGUUUGGGUGUAAAACCCGCACGCGAAAUGAAAGUGAACGUAGGUGAGAGCUUCGGCGCAUCAUCGACCGAUCCUGAUGUUUUCGGAUGGAUUUGAGUAGGAGCGUUAAGCCUUGGACCCGAAAGAUGGUGAACUAUGCUUGGAUAGGGUGAAGCCAGAGGAAACUACUGGUGGAGGCUCGCAGCGGUUCUGACGUGCAAAUCGAUCGUCAAAUCUGAGCAUGGGGGGCGAAAGACUAAUCGAACCCUCUAGUAGCUGGUUACCCGCCCGAAGU
rnacentral:rRNA from 1 species